rnacentral:tRNA from 1 species
GGUGAGAUAGCUCAACUGGUUAGAGCGCAGCACUCAUAAUGCUGAGGUUGGGAGUUCGAGUCUCCCUUUCGCCA